GAGGGUAUAGCUCAGUGGUAGAGCAUGUGCUUAGCAUGCACGAGGUUCUGGGUUCAAUCCCCAGUACCUCUA
rnacentral:tRNA from 1 species